UACAGAGGGGGCAAGCGUUGUUCGGAAUUACUGGGCGUAAAGGGCGCGUAGGCGGUUCGAUAAGUCCCGUGUGAAAUCCCUCGGCUCAACUGAGGAACUGCAUGGGAAACUGACGGGCUUGAGUUCGGGAGAGGGAAGCGGAAUUCCGGGUGUAGCGGUGAAAUGCGUAGAUAUCCGGAGGAACACCGGUGGCGAAGGCGGCUUCCUGGACCGACACUGACGCUGAGGCGCGAAAGCUAGGGGAGCAAACGGG
rnacentral:rRNA from 1 species